rnacentral:tRNA from 1 species
UCCCUGGUGAUCCAGUGGUCUAAGACUCUGCGCUGCCAAUGCAGGGUGCUCGGGUUUGACCCCUGGUCAGGGAA